rnacentral:rRNA from 1 species
UUCUGGCUCAGGACGAACGCUGGCGGCGUGCUUAACACAUGCAAGUUGAACGGUAUGACAUGGAAGCUUGCUGAAGUGUCAUAUAGUAGCGGACGGGUGAGUAAUGCAUGAGAAGCUGCCAUUGGGAGGGGGACAACAGUUGGAAACGGCUGCUAAUACCCCGUAUGCCGGAGGGUGAAAGGGAGUAAUCCGCCCGAUGAGGUGCUCAUGUCCUAUCAGCUGGUUGGUGGGGUAACGGCCUACCAAGGCGACGACGGGUAGCCGGCCUGAGAGGGUGAACGGCCACACUGGAACUGAGAUACGGUCCAGACUCCUACGGGAGGCAGCAGUGGGGAAUAUUUGGGGCAAUGGGGGCAACCCUGACCCAGCGACGCCGCGUGGGGGAAGACGGCCUUCGGGUUGUAAACCUCUUUUGUACGGGAAGAAGGAAGUGACGGUACUGUACGAAUAAGUCCCGGCUAACUACGUGCCAGCCGCCGC